AGAUAAAAUUUUAUAUUUUGGAGAAUUUAUUUUUAAUUUAUUUUACAUAUAAAUUUUAGUGAAUAAUUUUAAUUAUUUAAAAAAUAAUUAAUAAUAUUUUGUAGUAAUUAAUAUUAAAAAUUUAAGAAAUUAAGAUUUAGUAAUAAGAAAAUUAAUAACUAAUUUUGUGCCAGCAGUUGCGGUUAAACAAAAGUUAAAUUAAAUUAAUUCAGUAAAUAAUAAAUAAUAAUAUUGUUUUAAAAAAUAUUAAAUUAUAAGGUGAAAUUUUAAUUUAAUUAAAAUUUAUAUAUAAAUUAUGAUUUAAUAAAUUUUAUUAUAAACUAGGAUUAGAUACCCUAUUAUUAAAAAUUUAAUUAUAAAUACUAAAAUAGUAAAUAAUAAAUAUUGAAACUUAAAUAAAAUGGCGGUAUUUUAGUUCAUUUAGAGGAAUCUGUCUAGUAAUUGAUAAUCCACGAAUAAAUUUACUUAAUGUAAAAUUUUGUAUAUCAUUGUUAAAAAAAUAUUUUUUAAUAAAAAUAAUAUUUUAAAAUUUUGAAUAUAAAUUAAUUCAGAUCAAGAUGCAGAUUAUAAUUAAGAUUAAGAUGGAUUACAAUAAAUUUAUUUAAACGGAAAUAAAUUUUUUAAUAUAAAAUUGAAGGUGGAUUUAAAUGUAAUUUUAACUAGUUUGUUAAAAUGAUUAAUAAUUGAAAUAUGUACAUAUUGCCCGUCACUUUCAUUUAAAAAUUGAAAUAAGUCGUAACAAAGUAGAGGUACUGGAAAGUGUUUCUAGAAUGAU
rnacentral:ncRNA from 1 species